rnacentral:rRNA from 1 species
UACGAAGGGGGCUAGCGUUGUUCGGAAUUACUGGGCGUAAAGAGCUCGUAGGCGGUUUGUCGCGUCUGCUGUGAAAACUGGGGGCUCAACCCCCAGCCUGCAGUGGGUACGGGCAGACUAGAGUGCGGUAGGGGAGAUUGGAAUUCCUGGUGUAGCGGUGGAAUGCGCAGAUAUUAGGAGGAACACCGAUGGCGAAGGCAGAUCUCUGGGCCGUAACUGACGCUGAGGAGCGAAAGCAUGGGGAUCGAACAGG